GACGAACGCUGGCGGCGUGCUUAACACAUGCAAGUCGAACGGAAAGGCCCUGCUUUUGUGGGGUGCUCGAGUGGCGAACGGGUGAGCAACACGUGAGUAACCUGCCCUUGACUUUGGGAUAACUUCAGGAAACUGGGGCUAAUACCGGAUAGGAGCUCCUGCUGCAUGGUGGGGGUUGGAAAGUUUCGGCGGUUGGGGAUGGACUCGCGGCUUAUCAGCUUGUUGGUGGGGUAGUGGCUUACCAAGGCUUUGACGGGUAGCCGGCCUGAGAGGGUGACCGGCCACAUUGGGACUGAGAUACAGCCCAGACUCCUACGGGAGGCAGCAGUGGGGAAUAUUGCACAAUGGGCGGAAGCCUGAUGCAGCAACGCCGCGUGCGGGAUGACGGCCUUCGGGUUGUAAACCGCUUUCGCCUGUGACGAAGCGUGAGUGACGGUAAUGGGUAAAGAAGCACCGGCUAACUACGUGCCAGCAGCCGCGGUGAUACGUAGGGUGCGAGCGUUGUCCGGAUUUAUUGGGCGUAAAGGGCUCGUAGGUGGUUGAUCGCGUCGGAAGUGUAAUCUUGGGGCUUAACCCUGAGCGUGCUUUCGAUACGGGUUGACUUGAGGAAGGUAGGGGAGAAUGGAAUUCCUGGUGGAGCGGUGGAAUGCGCAGAUAUCAGGAGGAACACCAGUGGCGAAGGCGGUUCUCUGGGCCUUUCCUGACGCUGAGGAGCGAAAGCGUGGGGAGCGAACAGGCUUAGAUACCCUGGUAGUCCACGCUGUAAACGGUGGGUACUAGGUGUGGGGUCCAUUCCACGGGUUCCGUGCCGUAGCUAACGCUUUAAGUACCCCGCCUGGGGAGUACGGCCGCAAGGCUAAAACUCAAAGGAAUUGACGGGGCCCCGCACAAGCGGCGGAGCAUGCGGAUUAAUUCGAUGCAACGCGUAGAACCUUACCUGGGUUUGACAUGGAUCGGGAGUGCUCAGAGAUGGGUGUGCCUCUUUUGGGGUCGGUUCACAGGUGGUGCAUGGCUGUCGUCAGCUCGUGUCGUGAGAUGUUGGGUUAAGUCCCGCAACGAGCGCAACCCUUGUUCACUGUUGCCAGCACGUUAUGGUGGGGACUCAGUGGAGACCGCCGGGGUCAACUCGGAGGAAGGUGGGGAUAACGUCAAGUCAUCAUGCCCCUUAUGUCCAGGGCUUCACGCAUGCUACAAUGGCUGGUACAGAGAGUGGCGAGCCUGUGAGGGUGAGCGAAUCUCGGAAAGCCGGUCUCAGUUCGGAUUGGGGUCUGCAACUCGACCUCAUGAAGUCGGAGUCGCUAGUAAUCGCAGAUCAGCAACGCUGCGGUGAAUACGUUCCCGGGGCU
rnacentral:rRNA from 1 species